AUGGAAGAAGUGGAUGGUAGAGUAUGGAGGCUUACGGGUUUGUAUGGAGAACCAAGCUGGGACAAUAAGAAUAAAACAUACCAGUUGAUCCGAGACCUUCAUGCCCACUCUAACUUACCGUGGGUUGUUAUUGGUGACUUCAAUGAAAUACUACCGUCGUCAGAAAAAGAAGGAGGAACCCAGCGGCAAAAGUCUAGGCUUAAAGCGUUCCAAGAUGCCCUGACAGACGGCUCCUUGGAGGAUAUUGGAUACCAUGGCGACAAAUUUACCUUUUUCAGAGGAGGGCUACGAGAAAGGUUGGAUUGAGCAGUAUCAAAUCCGGGAUGGAUGGAUAUGCAUCCUCUAUGUGGUCUUGUAAACCUGGAUAUGGGCAAGUCGGACCACAUACCUAUA
rnacentral:rRNA from 1 species